CCUACGGGGGGCUGCAGUCGAGAAUCAUUCACAAUGGGGGAAACCCUGAUGGUGCGACGCCGCGUGGGGGAAUGAAGGUCUUCGGAUUGUAAACCCCUGUCAUGUGGGAGCAAAUUAAAAAGAUAGUACCACAAGAGGAAGAGACGGCUAACUCUGUGCCAGCAGCCGCGGUAAUACAGAGGUCUCAAGCGUUGUUCGGAAUCACUGGGCGUAAAGCGUGCGUAGGCUGUUUCGUAAGUCGUGUGUGAAAGGGGCGGGCUCAACCCGCGGACGGCACAUGAUACUGCGAGACUAGAGUAAUGGAGGGGGAACCGGAAUUCUCGGUGUAGCAGUGAAAUGCGUAGAUAGCGAGAGGAACACUCGUGGCGAAGGCGGGUUCCUGGACAUUAACUGACGCUGAGGCACGAAGGCCAGGGGAGCGAAAGGGAUUAGAUACCCCUGUAGUC
rnacentral:rRNA from 1 species